rnacentral:tRNA from 1 species
GCGCUUUGGUUCAGCGGUCACGAGCGUUGGACUUGAAACCGCAAGGUGGAGAGUUCGAUUCCCAGUGA